rnacentral:rRNA from 1 species
UACGGAGGGGGCUAGCGUUGUUCGGAAUUACUGGGCGUAAAGCGCACGUAGGCGGCUUUGUAAGUCAGAGGUGAAAGCCUGGAGCUCAACUCCAGAACUGCCUUUGAGACUGCAUCGCUUGAAUCCAGGAGAGGUGAGUGGAAUUCCGAGUGUAGAGGUGAAAUUCGUAGAUAUUCGGAAGAACACCAGUGGCGAAGGCGGCUCACUGGACUGGUAUUGACGCUGAGGUGCGAAAGCGUGGGGAGCAAACAGGG